rnacentral:rRNA from 1 species
UACAGAGGGUGCAAGCGUUAUUCGGAAUCACUGGGCGUAAAGAGUUCGUAGGCGGUUUGUUAAGUUUAAUGUGAAAGCCCUGGGCUCAAUCCAGGAAGUGCAUUAGAUACUGGCAAACUAGAGUGCAGGAGAGGAAGGCGGAAUUCCAGGUGUAGAGGUGAAAUUCGUAGAUAUCUGGAGGAACAACAGAGGCGAAGGCGGCCUUCUGGACUGUCACUGACGCUGAGGAACGAAAGCGUGGGGAGCAAACAGG